GCACAUGGGGAGGUCCCACCACACAUGAGCCUGGACAGUGACCUUCGCCCCCUGGGCUCCCUCAAUGGGAGAACCCCACACCCCUGCACCCCACACCCACACUCCCAAAUGUGUAAACCCACUCAUGCAUAUGCACAGCCGCACACUGACGCACUAACACAAACACAAGCAUCACACCAGCCACGCAUCUGUGGUUGGACUAGGAGGCAGGAGCCCUGCAUUCUAGCUCUGCCUCUGCCCUCAGUGGCCUUAGACACCUCCCUUGCCUUUCUCUGGCCUCAGUUUCCUCAUCUGUAAAAUGGGAGGCAGCGGACGCUGAUGUUUCCGAGGCCCUGCCUGACUUAGACAUGCACGUCUGCCCUCCCCCACUCGGCCACAGGCAGACUUUCAGCACCCCUUGCCUGCGUGGCCUCUGAGCCCAGCCCUCCCCGAUGCUAAAAGCCAGGCCCGUGAAAGGCUCCUCUGUCAUGAGGUGGGCUGGGCCCCCAGCCUGGAACCACACAGGAAACUGCUGCCCAGAGGUCCCCUGGCCCAGAGGACAGGCUCCCUCUGUUCCUCCCACCUACCCCCUCCACCACCCUAGCCCAGGGCCACACUCAGGCUGUGUGUGCCUGUGGGGGAGGGCAGGAGUCCCAGCCUCCUCAGAGCCAGCCUGGCAAUUGUCCACCCAGGGGACCAUUGCCUGCAACCCAGCCAGGGGAGGGAUAAAGGGAGGGACCAGGACACAGGCCUGCUCAGUGUGGGACUCAUGACUAGGGCCCAGAGGGUACUAGGACCCUCCUCAGUUACAGCCUGUUUGGCUCUGAGCCUGAACCUCCAAGAAGCAGACCUGGGAGUACUUAGGCAGCCUCGGGGCCAUGCCCCAUUGAACAGAUGGGGAAACUGAGGCCCAGAGAGACCCAAGGACUGGCUCAGGGUCACAGAUAGGGUUGAGUGGAGCUGGGACUAGAGCAGAGAUUUGCCAGCUCCUGACCCUGAGUUAUCUGAACCACCCCAGAGCUGCUGCUUUAGGGGUCUUCCAGGGGACCCCAGCCUUCUUUGUCCUCCCUCCAUGCUUAAGUGUCCACCAGGCCCUCCUUGGAAGAAGCCACAAGUAAGCAUCAGGACACCCUUCACCUCAUGAAAAGCCACAGCAGAAGCCAACCAGGCUGUCUGGCCCAGGCAGCUGCCCGGCACUUCGGAGAAACUGAGGCUCAAACCACUCCAGAGAUGACAAGUCCUGUCACCUUCAGGGAGGCGGAGGCCAAAGACAAAACUUGAAGGAAGAAAGAAGAUACUUGGACUCCAGGAAAUGAUCACCGUGGAAACCCAUCUGCUGCUUCUUGUCUACGGCUGUUUGUUCCUCCAGCUCUGGGCUGCCUGAGUGUCUCACAGCAGAAUUAGCAAGUGCGGAGGCUGAAGGUUUCUAGAGGCUCUGAGGUCACAGCUCUCGCUUGAGUGCACAUAACUAUAAGCCAUGAUGAGGAAACUGAGGCUUAGAGAGGUUAAAUGACAUGACCAAAGUGUCAACAGCUAACAGGCAGGAAAGCCAGGACUCAAAUCCGGCAGCCUGUUUCCAGAGUCCACGCUUGGAACCACGGAGCUGUAUUUCUUAACAAAGAAAUCUCACUCUGUCGCCCAGGCUAGAGUGCAAUGGCGCAA
rnacentral:lncRNA from 1 species